UAAUCUGCCCUCGGGUGGGGGAUAACAGCCGGAAACGGCUGCUAAUACCGCAUAACGCGGCGGCGCUUUCGGGCGCGGCCGUUAAAGCGGGGGAACUCUUCGGAGUCCUCGCGCCUGUGGAGGAGCUCGCGGCGGAUUAGCUAGUUGGUGGGGUAACGGCCCACCAAGGCGUCGAUCCGUAGCCGGCCUGAGAGGGCGGCCGGCCACACUGACACUGACACACGGGUCAGACUCCUACGGGAGGCAGCAGUCGGGAAUUUUGGGCAAUGGGCGCAAGCCUGACCCAGCAACGCCGCGUGAAGGAUGAAGUUUCUCGGAAUGUAAACUUCAUAAGAGUGGGAAGAAUAAGUGGGGGCUAAGACCCCCCAUGAUGACGGUACCACUUGUAAAGCCCCGGCUAACUCCGUGCCAGCAGCCGCGGUAAUACGGGGGGGGCAAGCGUUGUUCGGAUUUACUGGGCGUAAAGGGCGCGUA
rnacentral:rRNA from 1 species